UAGGUGUGGCUUGAAAUUAAUAUAGGGGCUUAAACAUGAGGCUCAUCUCAAGCUAAAAGUUCUACUCCUGGAGAUAAUCAUGGAAAGAAAGCGGGGGAGUUGGGAUGGGGGUAGAAAGUCGGAAAAAUCAUAGGAAGGAGUGAGAUCAAUGCAGCUGCUCUUGAACCUCAGAAAAGGCCCUGCGCUCCACCCUGUGGGUCUGCAUGACUUUAUGAGUCUCCCUAAAUCUCAGAGCAAGCAGGUGAAAACAAACAAAACUGGAACAAAGGAAACUUCCACGAUGGGAAAAAGAAACCAAAACAUGAAAACAUCUAGGGUACACGAACUGGGUGAACACGGCAAGACUUCUACUCCCAGACAUCUACAAACAACGAUCGACAGAGACUGAACAAACAACGAGGGUUUAAAUACAGAGACACAGUAAUGACUAAAUGACAAUCAGGUGAGAACAAUAACACAGUGCUGGCAGUGAUGAGGGCCGGGAAUCAUGGGAAUUAUAGUUAAAGACAGAGGACACGAGAAACACAGGGCAGACAACCAGGAAUCGUAACAAGUAGACCCCCAAAAUAAAUUAUUAACCUGUAAAUUACCAUAAUAUUGGUAUAAAUGAACUGUCCUUUAUCUCUUAUUUUAAAUCUUGUAAUCAGAUUAUAGUUUCUGACUUUCAAUGAAAGUUAGAACCUUCACAUACAUAAAACUAUAUAUUUUGUAUGUGAAAUACAGUUAAAAUGUGAAAUCAUAUGUUCAAAUGUACGUCUGUUUGUGUUUCUGUGACAGCUGAAGGGGGAUUGACAAUAAACAAGGAGAAAAUAGAUACAAAUACAUUUUUAAUAUGUUGUGUAAAAACAAAAAAUGUUUGCAAUAAACUUUUAGAAAGUUACUUAAAAGUAAAGUAAUUAGUCAUUUGAUUAUUUUGUCAAUUAAGAAAUCA